AUUGAACGCUGGCGGCAGGCCUAACACAUGCAAGUCGAGCGAGCGGCGGACGGGUGAGUAAUGUCUGGGAAACUGCCCGAUGGCGGGGGAUAACUAUAGGAAACGGUAGCUAAUACCGCAUACCAUCAGAUGUGCCCCGCUGGGAUUAGCUAGUAGGUGGGGUAACGGCGCACCUAGGCGACGAUCCCUAGCUGGUCUGAGAGGAUGACCAGCCACACGGGAACUGAGACACGGUCCAGACUCCUACGGGAGGCAGCAGUGGGGAAUAUUGCACAAUGGGCGCAAGCCUGAUGCAGCCAUGCCGCGUGUAUGAAGAAGGCCUUCGGGUUGUAAAGUACUUUCAGCGGGGAGGCGUUACCCGCAGAAGAAGCACCGGCUAACUCCGUGCCAGCAGCCGCGGUAAUUC
rnacentral:rRNA from 1 species